rnacentral:rRNA from 1 species
CACUAGUGAUUGGCAUGGAUUAGGCAUGCAAGUCGAACGGGAUCUGAGAUAUUCAAGUAGCAAUAUGAGAAUAUUUCAGUGAGAGUGGCGAAAGGGUGAGGAACACGUGAGUUACCUGCCCCUAAGUUUGGAAUAACCUUCCGAAAGGAGGGCUAAUGCCGAAUGUGGAUUACCCGUAAGGGGGACAUCUAAAGGUUUACCGCUUAGGGAUGGGCUCGCGUCCUAUCAGCUUGUUGGUGAGGUAAUGGCUUACCAAGGCAAUGACGGGUAGCUGGUCUGAGAGGAUGGUCAGCCACACUGGGACUGAGACACUGCCCAGACUCCUACGGGAGGCUGCAGUCGAGAAUCUUCCGCAAUGGGCGCAAGCCUGACGGAGCAAUGCCGCGUGAAGGAUGAAGGUCUUCGGAUUGUAAACUUCUGUCACUGGGGACGAAUAAAUGACGGUACCCGGAGAGGAAGUCACGGCUAACUACGUGCCAGCAGCCGCGGUAAUACGUAGGUGACUAGCGUUGUUCGGAUUUAUUGGGCGUAAAGGGUCCGCAGGGGGCCGGCUAAGUCUGAUGUGAAAUACCAAGGCUCAACCUUGGAACUGCAUUGGAAACUGGUCGGCUAGAGUAUCGGAGAGGAGAAUGGAAUUCCUGGUGUAGCGGUGGAAUGCGUAGAUAUCAGAGGAACACCAAAGGCGAAGGCAGUUCUCUGGACGAUUACUGACCCUCAGGACGAAGUAUGGGAUCAACAGAU